GCUGGGCACAGUGGCACGUGCCUGUAGUCCCAGUUACUCAGGAGGCUGAGGUGGGAGGAUCGCUCGAGCCCAGGAGUUCUGGGCUGUAGUGCACUAUGCCAACUGGGUGUCUGCACUAAGUUCGGCAUCAAUAUGUGACCUCCUGGGAGCAGGGGACCACCAGGUUGCCUAAGGAGGGGUGAACUGGCCCAGGUCAGAAACGGAGCAGGUCAAAACCACUGUGCUGAUCAGUAGUGGGAUCGUGCCUGUGAAUAGCCACUGCACUCCAGCCUGGGCAACAUAGUGAGACCCCAUCUCU
rnacentral:SRP_RNA from 1 species